rfam:Triticum aestivum genome assembly, contig: Triticum_aestivum_CS42_TGACv1_scaffold_320585_4BL
GCGCUCGGCAAUGCUGAGAUCGUCUCUCAUGUCCUCGCCGGACUUGACCUCGACUACAACCCGGUGGUCUCGGCCCUUGCAGCACGGGUAGAGCCCGUGACUGUCCAGGAGCUGUUCAACCAGCUUCUCAGCUUCGACG